UGGGGAAUAUUGCACAAUGGGCGGAAGCCUGAUGCAGCGACCCGCGUGGGGGAUGAAGGCCUUCGGGUUGUAAACUCCUUUCGACAGGGACGAAACUUUUGUGACGGUACCUGUAUAAGAAGCACCGGCUAACUACGUGCCAGCAGCCGCGGUAAUACGUAGGGUGCGAGCGUUGUCCGGAAUUACUGGCCGUAAAGAGCUAGUAGGUGGUUUGUCGCGUCGUCUGUGAAAUUCCGGGGCUUAACUCCGGGCGUGCAGGCGAUACGGGCUGACUUGAGUGCUGUAGGGAAGACUGGAAUUCCUGGUGUAGCGGUGAAAUGCGCAGAUAUCAGGAGGAACACCGAUGGCGAAGGCAGGUCUCUGGGCAGCAACUGACGCUGAGGAGCGAAAGCUUGGGUAGCGAACAGGAUUAGAUACCCUGGUAGUCCAUGCCGUAAACGGUGGGCGCUAGGUGUAGGGGGCUUCCACGUCUUCUGUGCCGUAGCUAACGCAUUAAGCGCCCCGCCUGGGAGUACGGCCGCAAGCUA
rnacentral:rRNA from 1 species